UGCUCCCAGAAUAUAGCUAAUUGGGAGUAACUCCUGCCCAGUGAGUAAUUCAACGGCCGCGGUAUCCUAACCGUGCAAAGGUAGCAUAAUCAUUUGCCCAUUAAUUGUGGGCUAGAAUGAAAGGAUUAACGAAAUAAAGACUGUCUCUGCAAGACACCUAAAAAUUACCCUCUAACCGAAGAGCGUUAGAUAUAAUCGAAGGACAAGAAGACCCUAUAGAGCUUAAUUUAAACAAAUGUAAAAAAUUUACUAAAAUUCGGUUGGGGCGACCGAGGAAAUGAUUAUCAUCCUCAGAUAAAAGAUAAAUAAAUCUAACUAAUGACCCUUAACUAAGAUCACUAAAACAAGCUACCUUAGGGAUAACAGGCUAAUCUCACUAGAGAGUCCUUAUUAAUAGUGAGGUUUGGCACCUCGAUGUUGGCUUAGGGAAUCUAUGUGGCGCAAAAGUCACAUAAAGAUGGUUUGUUCAACCAAUAACACCCU
rnacentral:rRNA from 1 species